UACGGAGGGUGCGAGCGUUGUCCGGAAUCACUGGGCGUAAAGGGCGCGUAGGUGGCGCGACAAGUCAACGGUGAAAGCUCGGCGCUCAACGCCGAGUCGGCCGUCGAUACAGUCGGGCUGGAGCACUGUAGAGGCAGAUGGAAUUCCGGGUGUAGCGGUGGAAUGCGUAGAGAUCCGGAAGAACACCGGUGGCGAAGGCGGUCUGCUGGGCAGUAGCUGACACUGAGGCGCGAAAGCGUGGGGAGCAAACGGG
rnacentral:rRNA from 1 species